AGUCACCAGGCCAUGGGUUCGAAGCAACCUCUCCACAUUUUUGGGGGGAAAGGCUUGCCUUAGUUUAUGCCUUCCCUAGACCCCACUCACAUGGGAGUUUCCGGCACUGGGCCUGCCCUUUUUUAUUUAAUAGCACUUAGCACUCUCCGGAAUUCAUGUUGGGACAACACAACACUACCCCCCUGUAAGUAACAUAUGGAAAUUGUCGUAUAAAGAUGCUAAAUAUCCAUAUAAAAUCUUAUUCGCAAAAUCUAACAUGAUCAUCCACUGCCACCGACCUACACCCAACACUAAACCAAAAGGCUACUCUAGCUGCUACAGUUAUCUGUCCAAAACUGUAAUUGUCAUAAACAAACACUAAAAUCCAGUUAAAAUCUUAUCGUGAAAGCCUGAAAUGACCUUCACCUGUAACUUGUCAACACCAAACAGUCAGGCUAUACAAUAUUCGGAUGAAAAAUCUUUUCCAGCACCCUAUUUUCUGGAUGGAGAUCGAAUGGAAAGGGUCAUAUUCUGCUUUGAGCAAACUGCUUCUUCCCCAGCUCUACUGCUCCAACGCCACCCCACAUACCUCCACCCUGCCACAGCAGCUAGGGUUUUGCUGAAGCCAGCAUGGAGCUCCGGCAAGGCACUUGCCCGCAGACGGCAGCCACCUCCUUACCCUUCCCUCCACUGCUGGUGUCACCUCGGCCUCAACUCCAC
rnacentral:misc_RNA from 1 species